UACGUAGGGCGCAAGCGUUGUCCGGAAUUAUUGGGCGUAAAGAGCUCGUAGGCGGCUUGUCACGUCGGGUGUGAAAGCCCCGGGCUCAACCCGGGAAGUGCACUCGAUACUGCCACGCUAGAGUAUCGGAGAGGUUGGUGGAAUUCUCGGUGUAGAGGUGAAAUUCGUAGAUAUCGAGAGGAACACCGGUGGCGAAGGCGGCCAACUGGACGAAUACUGACGCUGAGACUCGAAAGCGUGGGGAGCAAACAGG
rnacentral:rRNA from 1 species